rnacentral:rRNA from 1 species
GGGUUGUGAGGUUAAGCGACUAAGCGUACACGGUGGAUGCCCUGGCAGUCAGAGGCGAUGAAGGACGUGCUAAUCUGCGAUAAGCGUCGGUAAGGUGAUAUGAACCGUUAUAACCGGCGAUUUCCGAAUGGGGAAACCCAGUGUGUUUCGACACACUAUCAUUAACUGAAUCCAUAGGUUAAUGAGGCGAACCGGGGGAACUGAAACAUCUAAGUACCCCGAGGAAAAGAAAUCAACCGAGAUUCCCCCAGUAGCGGCGAGCGAACGGGGAGGAGCCCAGAGCCUGAAUCAGUGUGUGUGUUAGUGGAAGCGUCUGGAAAGGCGCGCGAUACAGGGUGACAGCCCCGUACACAAAAAUGCACAUGCUGUGAGCUCGAUGAGUAGGGCGGGACACGUGGUAUCCUGUCUGAAUAUGGGGGGACCAUCCUCCAAGGCUAAAUACUCCUGACUGACCGAUAGUGAACCAGUACCGUGAGGGAAAGGCGAAAAGAACCCCGGCGAGGGGAGUGAAAAAGAACCUGAAACCGUGUACGUACAAGCAGUGGGAGCACGCUUAGGCGUGUGACUGCGUACCUUUUGUAUAAUGGGUCAGCGACUUAUAUUCUGUAGCAAGGUUAACCGAAUAGGGGAGCCGAAGGGAAACCGAGUCUUAACUGGGCGUUAAGUUGCAGGGUAUAGACCCGAAACCCGGUGAUCUAGCCAUGGGCAGGUUGAAGGUUGGGUAACACUAACUGGAGGACCGAACCGACUAAUGUUGAAAAAUUAGCGGAUGACUUGUGGCUGGGGGUGAAAGGCCAAUCAAACCGGGAGAUAGCUGGUUCUCCCCGAAAGCUAUUUAGGUAGCGCCUCGUGAAUUCAUCUCCGGGGGUAGAGCACUGUUUCGGCAAGGGGGUCAUCCCGACUUACCAACCCGAUGCAAACUGCGAAUACCGGAGAAUGUUAUCACGGGAGACACACGGCGGGUGCUAACGUCCGUCGUGAAGAGGGAAACAACCCAGACCGCCAGCUAAGGUCCCAAAGUCAUGGUUAAGUGGGAAACGAUGUGGGAAGGCCCAGACAGCCAGGAUGUUGGCUUAGAAGCAGCCAUCAUUUAAAGAAAGCGUAAUAGCUCACUGGUCGAGUCGGCCUGCGCGGAAGAUGUAACGGGGCUAAACCAUGCACCGAAGCUGCGGCAGCGACACUAUGUGUUGUUGGGUAGGGGAGCGUUCUGUAAGCCUGUGAAGGUGUGCUGUGAGGCAUGCUGGAGGUAUCAGAAGUGCGAAUGCUGACAUAAGUAACGAUAAAGCGGGUGAAAAGCCCGCUCGCCGGAAGACCAAGGGUUCCUGUCCAACGUUAAUCGGGGCAGGGUGAGUCGACCCCUAAGGCGAGGCCGAAAGGCGUAGUCGAUGGGAAACAGGUUAAUAUUCCUGUACUUGGUGUUACUGCGAAGGGGGGACGGAGAAGGCUAUGUUGGCCGGGCGACGGUUGUCCCGGUUUAAGCGUGUAGGCUGGUUUUCCAGGCAAAUCCGGAAAAUCAAGGCUGAGGCGUGAUGACGAGGCACUACGGUGCUGAAGCAACAAAUGCCCUGCUUCCAGGAAAAGCCUCUAAGCAUCAGGUAACAUCAAAUCGUACCCCAAACCGACACAGGUGGUCAGGUAGAGAAUACCAAGGCGCUUGAGAGAACUCGGGUGAAGGAACUAGGCAAAAUGGUGCCGUAACUUCGGGAGAAGGCACGCUGAUAUGUAGGUGAAGUCCCUCGCGGAUGGAGCUGAAAUCAGUCGAAGAUACCAGCUGGCUGCAACUGUUUAUUAAAAACACAGCACUGUGCAAACACGAAAGUGGACGUAUACGGUGUGACGCCUGCCCGGUGCCGGAAGGUUAAUUGAUGGGGUCAGCGCAAGCGAAGCUCUUGAUCGAAGCCCCGGUAAACGGCGGCCGUAACUAUAACGGUCCUAAGGUAGCGAAAUUCCUUGUCGGGUAAGUUCCGACCUGCACGAAUGGCGUAAUGAUGGCCAGGCUGUCUCCACCCGAGACUCAGUGAAAUUGAACUCGCUGUGAAGAUGCAGUGUACCCGCGGCAAGACGGAAAGACCCCGUGAACCUUUACUAUAGCUUGACACUGAACAUUGAGCCUUGAUGUGUAGGAUAGGUGGGAGGCUUAGAAGUGUGGACGCCAGUCUGCAUGGAGCCGACCUUGAAAUACCACCCUUUAAUGUUUGAUGUUCUAACGUUGACCCGUAAUCCGGGUUGCGGACAGUGUCUGGUGGGUAGUUUGACUGGGGCGGUCUCCUCCUAAAGAGUAACGGAGGAGCACGAAGGUUGGCUAAUCCUGGUCGGACAUCAGGAGGUUAGUGCAAUGGCAUAAGCCAGCUUGACUGCGAGCGUGACGGCGCGAGCAGGUGCGAAAGCAGGUCAUAGUGAUCCGGUGGUUCUGAAUGGAAGGGCCAUCGCUCAACGGAUAAAAGGUACUCCGGGGAUAACAGGCUGAUACCGCCCAAGAGUUCAUAUCGACGGCGGUGUUUGGCACCUCGAUGUCGGCUCAUCACAUCCUGGGGCUGAAGUAGGUCCCAAGGGUAUGGCUGUUCGCCAUUUAAAGUGGUACGCGAGCUGGGUUUAGAACGUCGUGAGACAGUUCGGUCCCUAUCUGCCGUGGGCGCUGGAGAACUGAGGGGGGCUGCUCCUAGUACGAGAGGACCGGAGUGGACGCAUCACUGGUGUUCGGGUUGUCAUGCCAAUGGCACUGCCCGGUAGCUAAAUGCGGAAGAGAUAAGUGCUGAAAGCAUCUAAGCACGAAACUUGCCCCGAGAUGAGUUCUCCCUGACUCCUUGAGAGUCCUGAAGGAACGUUGAAGACGACGACGUUGAUAGGCCGGGUGUGUAAGCGCAGCGAUGCGUUGAGCUAACCGGUACUAAUGAACCGUGAGGCUUAACCUUACAACGCCGAAG